CACCGCGGUUAUACGAGAGGCCCAAGCUGAUAAUUAUCGGCGUAAAGAGUGGUUAAGAUUAAUUAAAGACUAAAGCCGAAAACCCCCAUAGCUGUUAUACGCACCCGGGGGAAAGAAGCCCAAUUACGAAAGUGGCUUUACAACAUCUGAACCCACGAAAGCUAGGGUA
rnacentral:rRNA from 1 species